AACGAACGCUGGCGGCAGGCCUAACACAUGCAAGUCGAACGCUCCGCAAGGGGAGUGGCAGACGGGUGAGUAACACGUGGGAACCUUCCCAUCGCUACGGAAUAGCUCAGGGAAACUUGGGGUAAUACCGUAUACGCCCGAAAGGGGAAAGAUUUAUCGGCGAUGGAUGGGCCCGCGGCUGAUUAGCUAGUUGGUGAGGUAACGGCUCACCAAGGCGACGAUCAGUAGCUGGUCUGAGAGGACGACCAGCCACACUGGGACUGAGACACGGCCCAGACUCCUACGGGAGGCAGCAGUGGGGAAUAUUGGACAAUGGGCGCAAGCCUGAUCCAGCCAUGCCGCGUGAGUGACGAAGGUCUUCGGAUUGUAAAGCUCUUUUGGCGGGGACGAUAAUGACGGUACCCGCAGAAUAAGCCCCGGCUAACUUCGUG
rnacentral:rRNA from 1 species